CAUGUGGCCAUGAAAAGAGAUCUAAGCAAAACAGACAUAAGUAACAUGCCUGAUGGAGAAUUUAAAGCAAUGAUCAUAAGGCUACUCACUGGACUUGACAAAAGAAUGGAUGACAUCAGUGAGACCAUUAACAAAGAGAUAAGGAAUAACAUAGCAGAGAUAAAGUGCUCAAUAAACAA